rnacentral:tRNA from 1 species
GUCUUCGUGGUGUAAUUGGAAGCAUACUCGACUGGUAUUCGAGGUGUCCAGGGUUCGAACCUCGGCGAGGGCA